rnacentral:rRNA from 1 species
UACGGGGGAUGCAAGCGUUAUCCGGAUUUAUUGGGUUUAAAGGGUGCGUAGGCUGUGAGGUAAGUCAGCGGUGAAAUGCCCCCGCUCAACGGGGUGAAGUGCCAUUGAUACUGCCUUGCUGGAAUGCGGAUGCCGUGGGAGGAAUGUGUGGUGUAGCGGUGAAAUGCAUAGAUAUCACACAGAACACCGAUUGCGAAGGCAUCUCACGAAUCCGCGAUUGACGCUGAUGCACGAAAGCGUGGGUAUCGAACAGG